UAGUGGUGUGCUCAGGCUGGCAGAGCCCUCCUGGGAGUGCUGGCUCCUGGCCUCCAGAUGCCAUCCGCCCCCUAACGCACUGGGUUUGGCAUGACUGGCCGAGCGUGACAGAGUGGCGGUCACGAGUCUUGGCAUUUCAUGUGUGUUGUUCUGAGGAAUUUUCCACCCUGGGUGGAAAUGAGCAGAAAUGAACUUGGGCUGGCAAGUGCAGGCCAGUCAUGGGCCAAGGGCAGCACACUGUGCUGAUCGAAGCCUGUGACCUCCUCAGGGAUUACAGUGACAUGGCAAAGACAGGGCCUUUGUCCUCCAAGAUGUGUGGGGCAGCACAUGUGCCUCCUGAGGUACAUCUAGCCCAUUGAAGGGAGCUAUGCCUUGGAUGCCCGCAGUGUCCCCUGUGCCCAGUGUCUCUGAGGACAGGCUUUUCUCUGGAGGGUCCUGGAGGAAGGGACAUUCUCUCUCAGCCAGGAGGAGCAGGAAAGCUGAGCGCAGCUUAGCUGUGGGUGCCCUGGGCCUUCCAGGUGUUGCUGUGUGCAUCGGGGACCUUACAUGGAGAGCCAGGGUCUCUGCCGCAGAGCUUUCUGCUUGAGAAGUCGGCCAUCGGGGAGUGUGAAUGAGGAGCAUGUUACAACCACUGAGCAGCAAGGGCCCUGUGGGCAGGGAGGGAAUGGCCUCUCUGGAAGAGGUGACAUUUAAGCUGAAACUGGGAUGACAUGACAGAAGGCCCCAGAUGCUCAGGUGAGCAGAAGCUUUGAGCUGGAAUUGCUUAGGUCAUUGUAAGCAUUGAUUUCUCCUUAAGGACAAUGAGAAAUUGGUGACAGAUUCCAAGCAGAGGAAUAAUGUGUUAUGUGAUCUGAUUACACACUUAGGAGAUGUUCUGGGACCGUGUGGACCAUGGAGGUGUUUCUGGAAGCUGGGAGGCCACACAGCAGUGGUGAGCGGGCCAGUGUGGUGGCUGCAGGAUUGGAGAGAAGUGGACUCUGGAUGUUUGGGGGAGGGCUGGGGAUGGCAAGGACCUGGAGUGCUCUCAGGAAUUUUAGCAUCUGCAUGUGGUGGGGUCACUGCAUUGGGCCAGGAAGGGGGUGUGCCUGGGUUCCAAGCUAGUGCUGCAGAUACUGGAUAGCAUAGAAAGGAGUAAAGUGGGAUGCAGCUUCAGGACCGUGGACUUCCCUGAGCAGCAUAUGCCUGAUCUGAGUGUGCCUUCGCACAGCUCCUUGCACCCUGCCUUGACCCCUGUGUGGCCUGUGCCACCGCACAUGUCCCUUUGAGGUCCUUUUAUUAUGGCGAGAUUGCAUUAAAUCACUGAGUAGAUCUUAAAGCAGGACAUGGAACCAUCUUUAUUCAGCAGCCUGUGGUUGGCAUCCACCAGCUGGCGGGUCAAGGGGCAGGCUGCAAGUCUACACCCUUCGACUCCCUUCUGGGGUUAGAGCACACCUUUACAGUCCAAAACCACAUUAAUCAUAAGUGGCUGUUGCUGAUUCAAGACCAUAAGCAAACAUCAGGAGAUCAUAACGGGAAGGGGAAGUAGGUCAAAAUGAUCCUCAUUUGGUACAAGUUAAAGAAUGGUUACUAAUAUCUAGACAACCAAUCUGACAGGGUACAUUGUCCAAGAAAAAUGUGAACCAAAGAGAACAAUUUUACAUUGUAUAAGAAUUGCCAUCUUGUGGGCUGGGGCUGUAGCUCAGUGGCAAAGUGCUUUAGCAUGCGUGAGGCCCUGGAUUUGAUCCUCAGCACCACAUAAAAAUAAACAAAUAAAUAAAGGUAUUGUGUCCAACUACAACUAAAAAAUAUUAAAAAAAAGAAUUGCCAUUUUGUGUUGCCAAACAUGCUAUGCUGUUUGAUGGGCACAGAGGCAGGUAUUCCCAUGGGAGGAGCAUUUCUUACAUGAUGUGGAGUCUCAGGGCAAAAUGGAGUCUGUUUGGUCAUUGCCUAUAAAGUCUGGCCCAUAACACUUUGUUCCUGAUUGCGGUGUUUAUAGGAUUUUCUUUACACUUUGUUCCUGACUGGGUGUUUGUAGGAUUUUCUUUAUCCUGUGACUUGGUUCAUACUUGAGGAGACCAUUGUCAGGAGCUGCUUCCCUUUGUGUUUCUGUGGAGGAGACAGGAGAAAGCUGCAGAUCCUUUUGGCUGAUGUAAAAACAGCUCACCCUGACGUAAAAAAGGGGCCAGCUUCCACGCUGUGGGCACUGGCUCUCGGCACACAUAUCCUUGCUGAUACGACUGGAAAUGCCAGGAAUGCCAUGCCUCUCUCUUCCCUGGUGCCCAUCUCUGCAUCUGCAAAGUAGGGGCCUUGAGAAGAGUGUACUUCACUCCUUUACGCUCACCUUGGCUUGGCCUACUGGCCUGCCAGGGCCAAAAGAGUGGGCAGAAGGGACAGCACAGAGUCCAAGCCUAGGCCUCAAGGGGUGUCAGAUACCCUGCUUGCCCCUUGGGACCUUCCAGCCCAGCCCCAGCAGGCCCAGCGCCAUCCCAGCUGGUCUGCAGACCUGCACACAGGAAAGGAAAUGCACGCUGUGCACAGAGACUUGUGUUUGUCCCCCCCAAUACUGGGGUUGAACCCAGGGGCACUUAUAUCUCCAACCCUUUUUAAAAAAUUUGAGAUGGGGUCUCACUAAAUUGCUCAGGCUGACCUUGAAUUUGCCUCAGCUCCCAGGUUGCUGAGGUGCCAGCAUGCACUGUUAUGCCUGGCUGUGCACACUCGUUUUGGGGCAGCUUGUUACACAGCAACAACUGGCUGAAACAAAUGGAAAUACCCAGAAGGGAAAGGAGAAUUGACAGAUUGACAGGCCAUAUGAUCACAGAGGCAGAGUGGAGCUAACCUAGAGGAGGAUCCUCCCCUAGAGCAGCACCCAUGGCCAUGCUGAUUCCAGGCCUCCAGAACGAAAGCUCCCUGCUGCCUGGCCCUGCAGUCCUCACCCUUACCCAGUGACGCUGUCAUGCCAUGGCCUGCACCCCCAUUCACAGCCCUGCUCAAGCACCCCCCACUCACAGCCCUGCUCCUGCUCAGCUGCCAGCCUGCCGCCUGUCACGGCUGAUGAAUUGGGAGGAACUGGGGUGCCCUGAAGGUCCUGGGCCAGAGUGGCGGGGCUCCGUUGGCAACGUGCAGCUGUGUUCCUGGCUUUGGCCUCGGCUCCAAGGUGACCUCCAGGAUCCUAGAUCUGAGGCAGACGGUGGCAAAAGGAGAAAAUUAUCAUCAAAGAAUAUUCCAAAUUCUUAGCAGAAAUCCCAUCAUCUCUGCAGACAUCACCUUGGGUUCUCCCAGGAUGAGGGGCCCAAGGCCCAUAAUAGUACUGCUUGCCCUGGCCAGCCUGCAGCAUGCAGUCACAUCUCUGAGAAUUGCAGCCUUCAACAUACGGAGUUUUGGGGAGACCAAGAUGUCCAAUGCAACCCUCUCUAGCUACAUUGUGCAGAUCCUGAGUCGCUACGACAUUGCUCUUGUCCAGGAGGUCAGAGACACCUACCUGACAGCUGUGGGGAAACUGCUGGAUGAACUUAAUCGAGAUGCACCGGACAAUUACCACUACGUGGUCAGUGAGCCACUGGGACGCAGUAGCUAUAAGGAGCAGUACCUUUUCGUGUACAGGCCUGACCAAGUGUCCGUGUUGGACAGCUACUACUACGACGACGGCUGUGAGCCCUGUGGGAAUGACACCUUCAGUCGAGAACCAGCCAUCGUCAAGUUCUUCUCCCCAUAUACACCUGAGCCUGCUUCUGCCUGCCAGGUGCUCAAUGUGUCUGUCUCCUCAGAUGUCAGGGAGUUUGCCAUCGUGCCCCUGCAUGCUGCCCCAGCCGACGCAGUGACGGAGAUUGAUGCUCUCUAUGACGUCUACCUGGAUGUCCGGCAGAAGUGGGGCCUGGAGGACAUCAUGUUGAUGGGUGAUUUUAAUGCUGGCUGCAGCUAUGUGACCCCCUCCCAGUGGUCCUCCAUUCGUCUGCGUACAGACCGUGCCUUCCAGUGGCUCAUUCCCGACACUGCGGACACCACAGUCACAUCCACACACUGUGCCUACGACAGGAUUGUGGUCUCUGGAGCUCUCCUCCAAGCUGCCAUUGUUCCCGACUCGGCUGUCCCUUAUGACUUCCAAGUGGCCUACGGCCUGGGCAACAAGCUCGCUGAAGCCAUCAGUGACCACUACCCAGUGGAGGUGACGCUGAGGAGAGCCUGACGCCAGUGAGUAGCAUGGCUGUGCAGCUUCCAGCCAAGGGGGCUACCUCACUGGACAUCUCAAAGCCUAGACAGCCCAAAGGUGGAUUAAGAAAUACUUUAAUGGAGGAGGACCAUGUCAUCAGCGUCUCUCCAGGGCCUUGACGAGAAGGUCAUUGAGGCGGCCAACCAUGGGCCUGGGGUCGUCCACUAGCCCUGCUGCUAUCAUGGCGUUGUCAUAGAUCUGAAAGGCAAGGGUGGAAAUUGUUUUUUGGGUCACAAAGACGAGAGCAGCUUCCCACCUCCCAGGUGGGCAGGGGCUGUCCUGGGUGGGCCCGGCUCCUCUCACCUGGUCAGCCAGCAGCUGGGCCAGCUCUGGCUCCUGCUCUUUCAGCUGAUUGAUCUUCUUAAUCAGCAUGUGCCUGCAAUGUGGGAACCACAGGAGCUGUUGGUUCAGGCCUCUACCUGCAUGCUGCUGACCCUCUGAGGGGGUUAACAGAACAUUCCGGAAAUGGCCAGUGAAUCCCCAAACAACCCACCAAUUUACUAAUAGACUGUUAAAAAACACAGAAGAGCAAGUAGCCAAGAGGGCCCCUGGAGGAUGCUGACGCUCGGCAGGGCUCGGGGAAGGCAGAUCAGCUGGCCUGCAGUGUUGGGCUCACCAGCAGCCAGCCAGAGAACGAUGAAACUGGAUUCCUGCCUUCUUCCUUAGACCAAAAUUAACUGGGAUCAAAGAUAAAAAGUACAAUUCAAAAAAGCUUAAUCUCAGAAGAAAACAGGUAAAUUAAAAAAAUUUCAUAAACCCAGAAGCCCAAAACAAAAGAAUGACAAAAACAUUUUUCCUACAAAGAAAAAAUAACUUUAUAAUAAGAAACAUACAUCAAACUGUUGAGACUUCACUUAGGUAAACUUAACUGAUCUCUACAGAGACCUGAGGUUCACAAUUAUGCACAGAUGGCGUCCCAGAGCAGCAGUUCCAUCUGCAGACUGCACCUUAGCAGGAAGCACCUCUAAUGUACGUCCUUACAACAGCAUCGACACAGCUGGACAAAGGAGGAGGGCAUGCGGGAUGCUCUAGCACGGGGGGUCCCUUGUUACACCACUGAGUGAGAAAAUCCAAGUGACCACCUGCACGCUGCCCGGGAGGAGCCCCGGCUGCUCCCUGAGACACGCACUUCUGGCUGCACUGGGGACAAGGCCAGGAGGGAGUGUUUUUCCUAUCAACUCCAGGUACAUUCCAAUUCUGGACCACGUGAACACACACAGGUUUUAAAGGCAAGAUUGAAAAGUGAAGCCCUUGGCCACUUCCAUACAGCAGAACCAGUCAGCAGCUGCCGCCUCAGCCCCAUGUUGCCUGGACACGGCUGCCGCUGGCCCAGAGCUGCCACCUGUUGCUCCACACUCAAUUUACCUAAGUGACCUGCAAAAAGGGGAAAGAGACCUCCCCAGCCCACUAGUUCAUGGUAAAGACCCUGAUAAAGUGACAAUGAAGAAGUUAAGCCAUGUGCCACAGGAAAACUCCACACAGAUGUGACUCACCAAGUAGGCCACGCUGUGGCAGGUGAGGAGGUGGAUGAGGGUUUUCCUUUUGCUAUUAACAUUUUUGGUAACUUGUUUAUGUAAUUUCAUUUCAAAAGAUUAUUAUCAAUUAAAAAAACAACAACAAGCAAAACAAGGGCUGGGGACAUAGCUCAGCUGGUAGAGUGCUUGCCCUGCAUGCACGGGCCCGGGGUUCCAUCCCCAGCACCACAGAAAAUAAAAAGAGUUCAGAAAAUGAUAACUUUAUACAUUUAAUAAAAAGACCCAUCAGCAGCCAGCUGGGUGUGGGGGCACACACCCGAAUCCCAACUGGAGCAGGAAGCUCCAGCUCCAGGCUAGCUUUAGCAACUUAGCAAGACCCUGUCUCAAAAUAAAAAGGAGCUGGGGAUGUGGCUCAGUGGUGGAACACCCUGGAUUCAGUCCUUAGUAGCACACACCUGUAAACCUAGAGAUUCAGGAUGCUGACACAGGAGUACAAGUUCAAGGCCAGCCUAGGCAAUUUAGGAAGACUCCAUCUCAAAGGAAAAAAAGACAUCAGCUAUAAAAACUAAAGGGACAUGCCAGGCGUGGUGGCACACACCUAUAAUCCCAGCAGCUUGGGAGGGUGAGGCAGGAGGAUUGUGAAUUCAAAGUCAGCCUCAGCAACUUAGUGAGGCCCUAAGCAACUCAGCAAGACCCUGUCUCCAAAUGAAAAAUAAAAAGCGCUGGAGAUGUA